rnacentral:lncRNA from 1 species
GUCCACCAACAGCUAACAGGAGGUAAUCCCAAAAUAUACACAGAAAGUAAAAAGUGUUUGCUAAGCACAGGUGUUCAACAAGUGCGUAAGUGUUUAUGUGUGAGGAUGAAUGAAUCACUGACCUGCUUCUAAUGGUGUGGCUGGAAAGGCAUGGAUAACACUAGGAGACAGUGGGUAUACCCCUGACCCUUGGUAACUCUACCUCUUCUGGGUAAAAUUAGGAAGUGAUGGGUUAUCUCACCUGCCUGCACCACAGCCUAAUGAAGUACAUAUCCAAAUGUAUCUUUUCUGGAAGUUACAGUAAGAUCAUUAUGAAGCAGGUCAGUAUAUUUGAAAAUAAUUUUCAUAGAGGAAGGAUUGGAAAAUAAGUGGAAAGGGAUAAACUUGUUGGUUGUAUUAUAAGGACUCUUAUUCCAAAAGUGUCUCUGUCACAAUAUCUAUGAAAAGGAUCUGGAACAAAAAUACCACCCACUUGGUGUAUAGUAAUUUGAAACAUAACUCUGAAGUUAUUCUGAGGUACACUUUUAAAAGAGAAAAAGUAUUGUUUUGUCUUUUAAAAAAAUAAAUCACCUUAAAUGUUUGGCUCACCCCACCACAGAAAGUAGUCACUGGAAAUGCAUAAGCUACUAUUUAAUAGGUACAUAAUUUUACAAUAAGUCCUAGCCAUCUGCUCCCUCCUCUAAUUAUGAACUCAGGAAAGACAUAAUUCACUACAUAUGGUACAAAGGCUGGUAGAGAGAAUUUAAGUAUCAUGUAUAACUUCUUUCUAAAAUGUUUCUUUUCAUUUCAAGAUAGCAGUUUUCAGUCUUGAAACACAAAUCGGGGGAAUUACUAACUCAUUUUGAAAAACACAAAUGCUCCUGAAGGAAAAUGGAAAUUGAUAAGAAAAGAAGCUUUUGAUUAAAUCUCUGUUUUCAGUCUCCAACUCAGAAAGUAUUUUUAACAUCAAAAGGUGCCACCAUAAGCUUGAUUUAAAUGUUGCUUUCAGUUGGUGUUCCUGUUUUCUCUUUUUUUUUUUUUUUUUUUUUUUUUUAAGGGACAGGGGACCUCAGAAACUCCUCUCCAUUGGUUUCGCACUGUUUCCCACUGUAAAACUGACAAGAGGUAGUACAAGGCUAAUGACAGGGAAAGGUAGAAAUUAACAACACAAGCUUAUUUUUUGCGCUUUUAUUUUGACUAAGAUAAAUAUUUAUUGCUAUUGUCUUACCUUUCAUUUGUCAUAGAGAUGACACAGCUCUUACUAUAAACUCUCACAUGAAGGAUUCAUUGUCUUCAACAAAGUGAGAUAGCAAUGCACACACAUAUAUAUAUAUCUUCAAGAUCCUCUCCUCUUAUAGAGGGAAUGGCUGAUAAAUGGAAGCAAAGCUCCAUGGAACAAACUGAGAGAAUGGUUUUGCUAUUUUAUGGGCAACAUUAGAAAUAGGUUUACUCAGCUAAUUUCCAAAACAGAACAGCAUUAUAUGCCUUUACUGCCACACUCUGAAGAAUUUCACACUUCAAUUCUCUAAAUUAAGACACGUACCAUAGAACUUUUUAGGGCAGCAUUUUCUUUACAUUUCAAAACACCAGGAUCACAUUUAUCAAAUGGGAGUAUGGGUGGGGAGGUAGGAUCAGCAUAGUUUUUAAAAGGCUAGUAAAGAAAAUUAAAACUUUUCUGUUCUUCUCCAUGUUUCAUCUCAGAACAAAAGAAGGUUAGUGGGUUUUCUGCUAGUAGUCACACUGUGAGUCAAAUACUUUUUGUCAAUAUGGCCUCCAUGUGAGACCUCUGACUGUGGAACAUCCUGUGAACUCCCUGAGUGCAGGUGUACAUGAAGAUACCUGGGUAGUUUUUACAGCGACGAUAUUGGCUCUUAAGCAGCUCACUCUCAUCAUUUUCUAUCUACCUCACAGGUAAGUACAAAUCUUCCAAGGAUUCUUGUUAGUGAAUUAAACUGACAAAACACAUCCAUGGAAAAUAAGUUGGAGAGGUGACAUGGAAAAUGCAAGGUGUCCUCCAUUUUAUUCUGAUUGCGAGAAAGAAUAAGGAGUGUAGUUUCUUCAAAUUCUUUUCUGUUCAUCAUCAUGAAACAAAAAGAGACAUCAUUUAAACAAUAAGGUUAAACAAUAAGGAAAUUCUGGCCACUGAAAUUGAAGACUUUUUAAAAGAAUUUUUAUUUUAUUUUAUUUUAUUUUAUUUUUUUGCUUCUUAUGGCCAUACCUGAGACCUCCUGGGAACUUCCAUAUGCUUCAGGUAUGGUCCUAAAAAGAUUAAAAAAAAAAAAAAGAGGGACCAUCUUCAAAUAUUCCUGAAAAAGAUUUAAAUCUUGUACUGACCUAAAAAGGACUGUUUAAGAGGAUAGAGACUAAUUUGAAUAAGCAGGUUUAAGUUCUUUUUCUAUUCUUGGCAGAGGUAGAGCUUGAAAGAAGUAAGAAAUUAGUUAAAAAAAAAAAAGUAAAGCUACAUUUCAGGACCCAUACAAUUUUUGACUGGUAAAUCAUGCACACCAUAGUCUGCUCUUUAUUUUUUCCCAUCUUUUUAAAUUGACAAAUAAAAACUGCAUGCAAUUGUAUGAUUUGAUGUUUUGAUAUAUGUAUACACCAUGAAAUAAUCAUCUGCAGUUAACUUUUUAAACCCUUCAAGAUAUAUGUUUAUUGUAGUUCCUGUUGUGGCUCAGUGGUAACAAACCUGACUAGCAUCCAUGAGAACAUGGGUUUGAUCCCUGGCCCUGCUCAGUGGGUUAAGGCUCUGGUGUUGCUGUGAGCUAUGGCGUAGGUCGCAGUAGCAGCUUGGAUCCCAUGUGGUUGGCGCUGUGGUGUACACCAGCAGCUACAGCUUGAUUUGACCCCUAGCCUGGGAACUUCCCUAUGCCGCAGGUGCAGCCCUAAAAAUAAAAUAAAAAAUUAAAAAAAUAUAUAUGUUUAUCUAUACU